rnacentral:rRNA from 1 species
GAUGAACGCUGGCGGCGUGCCUAAUACAUGCAAGUCGAGCGAACAGACGAGGAGCUUGCUCCUCUGACGUUAGCGGCGGACGGGUGAGUAACACGUGGAUAACCUACCUAUAAGACUGGGAUAACUUCGGGAAACCGGAGCUAAUACCGGAUAAUAUAUUGAACCGCAUGGUUCAAUAGUGAAAGACGGUUUUGCUGUCACUUAUAGAUGGAUCCGCGCCGCAUUAGCUAGUUGGUAAGGUAACGGCUUACCAAGGCAACGAUGCGUAGCCGACCUGAGAGGGUGAUCGGCCACACUGGGAGUGAGACAGGGUACAGGGGCAGAGGGGGGCCGGCAGUAGGGAAUCUGCCGGCAGGGGCGAAGACCAGAGGGAGCAACGCCGAGUGAGGGAUGAAGGUCUUCGGAUGGAAAAACUAUGUUUUUGGAGAAGAAAAAAUGUGUAAGAAACUAGACACGUUUACGGUGUACGUAAAAAAAGCGCCGGGGAAAUAUGCG